GGGACGGUAGAUCAGUUGGGAGAUCGUUCGACUGAAGAUAACUUCAAUCAGUCCAUCGGAAGGUCCCUGGUUCGAUCCCGGGUCGUCCCA